UACGGGGGGGGCAAGCGUUGUUCGGAAUUACUGGGCGUAAAGGGCUCGUAGGCGGCCAACUAAGUCCGACGUGAAAUCCCGCAGCUUAACUGGGGAACUGCGUCUGAUACUGGAUGGCUUGAGUUUGGGAGAGGGAUGCGGAAUUCCAGGUGUAGCGGUGAAAUGCGUAGAUAUCUGGAGGAACACCGGUGGCGAAGGCGGCAUCCUGGACCAACACUGACACUGAUGAGCGAAAGCCAGGGGAGCAAACGGG
rnacentral:rRNA from 1 species